rnacentral:lncRNA from 1 species
AUGCCCUGGUUCCCGUGCGCGCGUCAGGCGGCGGGCGGCGUCCUUGAGCUCGACGCCUCCUGGUUCGCUCGAGCCUAUUUCCGUAUUCGACGGUAGCGGCGCUCGAGCCCUGAUCGAUUCGCUCGACGCCUUUUCCGUCUUCGAGGCUGCGGUUGUCGAUGACUGUACGUAUGACUGGCUAGAGCGUCGAGUUGAGGGCCUCGACCUGCGUACAGGUAAUCUCAUCAUGUGUAUCAGUUAGGAUACCCCUUACUGAUACCCUCGACACUUGUCAUGCGGUUAAAAUCAAGAUUCACUUGCACGUCUACUCAUAUAUGCUACUUCUACUCUGGAAGUACGCAUCCACAUACAUCCACUCAUUUCCAUCUCCAGAUCCACCUAAAAUUAUUCUACUCCUAUCCGGGAGAUAAUAGUCAAAAACAUUCUCCUAUUCCUGUUAUUUCGUGCGAAAUAAAUGCUCGAGUUAUCUUGGUUACUACCACUUGCUACAUUAUUCCAGGAGGGUGAAUGCUCUAAAAAAAUGAAUACGAGGAAAUAAAAAGGGGCAAGUGCCCGAAACCUUGAAGAAGAAAAAAAGUGAGACGAGAGGUAAAAAUAGACAAGUGUCCAACAGUAGAAUUAGGGGUACAAGAUACCCACCUGAGAGAAAAGAAAAAAAGAAAGAAAAUUUAGAGCAUCUCAUUCUCCUCAAAAAGCUUCAAAGUACAAGAAAGGUAUGUAUCCCCUCAACAGAGCAAAAGUAGAAUUAGACUUUCACCAUUGUUUUCACCAUCAUCACCAUACACCAUUCAUUCGCCACACAUGCAUGUCUUGAUUUGACUUAUUGACUUGAUUCUCUAGAUCCAUAGUUUGACUAUGCAAUAAAUGUCUUACAAGUAUGUAUUCUUUAUCUCCCAUAUGUGAGCUCCAGUUAUAAAGCCUUAUUAGAGUAGGGUGAGAGAGUAAGACAAUGUCACUACGCCUCGUACCACAAAUCCCACAUAUUUUAAGAGAAGGCAUAUACCAUCACUACCUUCGUAAGGAUCCAGAAAUACUACAAAAGAGAGAUUUGAGAGAGUCAUACAAGGAAUCUAUGAGUUUUAUUUGAAAAUUUGCAAAAUAAACUCUAGAGCUAUAGUUGAUCAAACAACAAGAGACAUGGCACUUGACUUGCCCAUUCUAUCUUUUAACCGCUCAAGACAUAAGUGAUGGUUGCAAGCCCCAUGGUGGAAGGUAAAAUGAGUAAGUUUUAAGUCUUAAUAGUUUACUCUAACUCAGAGAUGAGACCUUGUGUUGAUGCAAAAUUGAUCUGCAAACACAAAGGGCUAAUACCCGAUUCAAAUGUUAAGGCGUGCCAGCCGAUUUGACCUUGCUAUCGGCAAAGGUGAUAACUCGAAUACUUUAGUCCUGACAACAGCGAUGCGCCCGGAUGUCACGGCUAAGAGGUACUCACGC